AAAAAAAAAGAAAAGGGGAAAAAGUUGGAAAUUUUCAAAAUUUCGUCGAAUUCUUCGUCAAACUUUCGAAGGCGAAUUUUCGGUAUGUUUAGAUGUUGACGUGCAUUUUGGGGAUGGAUCUCGGUAGCUGCACACACUAACUUAUCACGAUGUCGAUAGCUCAACCGGUGUAUACAAGUGGUGUGUCUGAUGGUCCGUCGUUUGUUUUUGUUUAUGUUGUGGUACGACGCUGGUAGCGUCAUGGCGGACUCUAUAUAUAUGCUGGUUAUA